rnacentral:rRNA from 1 species
UUGGGUUUAAAGUGCACGUAGGCGGACCAUUAAGUCAGGGGUGAAAGCCUGGAGCUCAACUCCAGAACUGCCUUUGAUACUGAUGGUCUCGAGUUCGGAAGAGGUUGGUGGAACUGCGAGUGUAGAGGUGAAAUUCGUAGAUAUUCGCAAGAACACCAGUGGCGAAGGCGGCCAACUGGUUCGAUACUGACGCUGAGGUGCGAAAGCGUGGGGAGCAAACAGGAUUAGAUACCCCUAGUA